CGGCACGUGCGGGUGCUAUACAUGCAGUCGAACGCGCAGCGAGAGGUGCUUGCACCUUUCAAGCGAGUGGCGAACGGGUGAGUAACACGUGGAUAACCUGCCUCAAGGCUGGGGAUAACAUUUGGAAACAGAUGCUAAUACCGAAUAAAACUUAGUAUCGCAUGAUAUAAAGUUAAAAGGCGCUACGGCGUCACCUAGAGAUGGAUCCGCGGUGCAUUAGUUAGUUGGUGGGGUAAAGGCUUACCAAGACAAUGAUGCAUAGCCGAGUUGAGAGACUGAUCGGCCACAUUGGGACUGAGACACGGCCCAAACUCCUACGGGAGGCUGCAGUAGGGAAUCUUCCACAAUGGGCGCAAGCCUGAUGGAGCAACGCCGCGUGUGUGAUGAAGGCUUUCGGGUCGUAAAGCACUGUUGUAUGGGAAGAAAUGCUAAAAUAGGGAAUGAUUUUAGUUUGACGGUACCAUACCAGAAAGGGACGGCUAAAUACGUGCCAGCAGCCGCGGUAAUACGUAUGUCCCGAGCGUUAUCCGGAUUUAUUGGGCGUAAAGCGAGCGCAGACGGUUGAUUAAGUCUGAUGUGAAAGCCCGGAGCUCAACUCCGGAAUGGCAUUGGAAACUGGUUAACUUGAGUGUUGUAGAGGUAAGUGGAACUCCAUGUGUAGCGGUGGAAUGCGUAGAUAUAUGGAAGAACACCAGUGGCGAAGGCGGCUUACUGGACAACAACUGACGUUGAGGCUCGAAAGUGUGGGUAGCAAACAGGAUUAGAUACCCUGGUAGUCCACACCGUAAACGAUGAAUACUAGGUGUUAGGAGGUUUCCGCCUCUUAGUGCCGAAGCUAACGCAUUAAGUAUUCCGCCUGGGGAGUACGACCGCAAGGUUGAAACUCAAAGGAAUUGACGGGGACCCGCACAAGCGGUGGAGCAUGUGGUUUAAUUCGAAGCAACGCGAAGAACCUUACCAGGUCUUGACAUCCUUUGAAGCUUUUAGAGAUAGAGUGUUCUCUUCGGAGACAAAGUGACAGGUGGUGCAUGGUCGUCGUCAGCUCGUGUCGUGAGAUGUUGGGUAGUCCCGCACGAGCGCACCCUAUGUAGUGCCAGCAUCAGUGGGCACUCUAGCGAGACUGCCGUGACAACGAGGAGCGGGACGACGUCGAUCAUCAUGCCCUUAUGACUGACUACCACGUGCUACAUGGCGUUACACGAUGCCACCUGCAAGGGGAGCUAUCUCUUAAGUCGCUUCAGUCGGACUCGAGUUGGAAUCGAAU
rnacentral:rRNA from 1 species